rnacentral:rRNA from 1 species
AUGAACGCUGGCGGCGUGCCUAAUACAUGCAAGUCGAACGGAAAGUAGCAAUACUUUAGUGGCGACCGGGGUGCGUAAACACGUAGCUAACCUGCCCUCUCGCGGGGGACAACUGUUGGAAACGACAGCUAAUACCGCCAUGACAUUCACGGGAACAAAUACUGUGAAUUAAACUUACGGGGGCGAGAGGAGGGGGCUGCGGCCCAUCAGGUAGUUGGAGAGGUAAGAGCUCACCAAGCCGACGACGGGUAGGGGACCUGAGAGGGUGGUCCCCCCACACUGGGACUGACAACGGCCCAGACUCCUACGGGAGGCAGCAGUAAGGGAUAUUGCGCAAUGGGGCGAAAGCCUGACGCAGCAACGCCGCGUGGAGGAUGAAGGCCUUCGGGUUUGUAAACUUCUUUGGGCAGGGACGAGGAAGGACGGUACCUGCCAAACAAGUCACGGCUAACUACGUGCCAGCAAGCCGCGGUAAAAACGUAGGUGGCAAGCGUUAUCCGGAAUUACUGGGCGUAAAGGGUGUGCAGGCGGGGCCACAAGUGGUGUAUGAAAUCUCCCAGCUUAACUGGGAGGGGUUAUGCCAGACUGUGGUUCUAGAGGACGAGAGAGGGGGGUGGAAUUCCGGGUGUAGUGGUGAAAUGCGUAGAGAUCCGGAGGAAACCCCAGAGACGAAGGCGGCCCCCCUGGCUCGUACCUGACGCUCAGCCACGAAAGCAUGGGGAGCGAACGGGAUUAGAAACCCCGGUAGUCCAUGCCGUAAAACGAUGUCAACUAGGCGCUGUCGGUCUCAACCCCGCCGGUGCCGGAGCUAACGCGAUAAGUUGACCGCCUGGGGAGUACGGUCGCAAGGCUUAAAACUCAAAGGAAUUGACGGGGGCCCGCACAAGCAGCGGAGCGUGUGGUUUAAUUCGAGGCUACACGAAGAACCUUACCUGGGCUUGACAUGACACUAGUAGGGAAGUGAAAGCGGACCGACCCGCAAGGGAGGUGUCACAGGUGCUGCAUGGCUGUCGUCAGCCUCGUGCCGUGAGGUGUUAGGUUUAAGGUCCUGUAACGAGCGCAACCCCCGGAGCCAGUUACACGUUGUCUGGCUCGACUGCCCGUGACAAGCGGGAGGAAGGUGGGGAUGACGUCAAGUCAGCAUGGCCUUUAUGUCCAGGGCUACACACACGCUACAAUGGCCGGUACAAUGGGCAGCCAAGCCGCAAGGCGGAGCUAAUCCUAUCAAAAGCCGGUCACAGUUCGGAUUGUGGGCUGCAAACCCGCCCACAUGAAGGUUGGAGUUGCUAGUAAACCGCGCGUCAGCCAUAGUGCGGUGAAUACGUUUCCCGGGCCUUGUACACCACCGCCCGUCACGUCAUGGGAGCUGGUCACGCCUGAAGCGAGUUCGCUAACCGGCAAGGAGGCAUCUCUCCAAGGCAGGGCCGGUGACUGGGACG